UACAGAGGUCUCAAGCGUUGUUCGGAUUCAUUGGGCGUAAAGGGUGCGUAGGUGGCGCGGUAAGUCGGGUGUGAAAUCUCGGAGCUUAACUCCGAAAUUGCAUUCGAUACUGCCGUGCUUGAGGACUGGAGAGGAGACUGGAAUUCAUGGUGUAGCAGUGAAAUGCGUAGAGAUCAUGAGGAACACCAGUGGCGAAGGCGGCUCACUGGCCCGGUACUGACGCUGAGGCGCGACAGCGUGGGGGAGCAAACAGG
rnacentral:rRNA from 1 species